rnacentral:rRNA from 1 species
UACGUAGGGUGCGAGCGUUUAAUCGGAAUUACUGGGCGUAAAGCGUGCGCAGGCGGUUCGCCAAGUCAGGUGUGAAAUCCCCGGGCUUAACCUGGGAAUUGCGCUUGAAACUAGCGGGCUUGAGUGUGGCAGAGGGGGGUGGAAUUCCACGUGUAGCAGUGAAAUGCGUAGAGAUGUGGAGGAACACCGAUGGCGGAAGGCAGCCCCCUGGGUCAACACUGACGCUCAUGCACGAAAGCGUGGGGAGCAAACAGG